CACCAUUGGCCAUUCCAGUUCACGUUAUGUGAUUAUUUUGGUCCCUACGUAGUGAAAAUACCAAAAUAGGACGGAACUCAAAACUACAAAUGUGCGUGGACGACGGGGAACUAAACGGGAUUGUGUUUCUUGACAUUGGGAAAGUAUUUGACUCGAUCAGUCAUGAUAAGUUGCUGCAAACAAUCGGAAGAGACAGUUUCACUUUGCAUCCCUUUUUGCCAAUAGAUCUAGAGAAACAAGCA